AGUGAACGCUGGCGGUAGGCCUAACACAUGCAAGUCGAACGGCAGCACAGUAAGAGCUUGCUCUUACGGGUGGCGAGUGGCGGACGGGUGAGGAAUACAUCGGAAUCUACUUUUUCGUGGGGGGUAACGUAGGGAAACUUACGCUAAUACCGCAUACGACCUACGGGUGAAAGCAGGGGAUCUUCGGACCUUGCGCGAUUGAAUGAGCCGAUGUCGGAUUAGCUAGUUGGCGGGGUAAAGGCCCACCAAGGCGACGAUCCGUAGCUGGUCUGAGAGGAUGAUCAGCCACACUGGAACUGAGACACGGUCCAGACUCCUACGGGAGGCAGCAGUGGGGAAUAUUGGACAAUGGGCGCAAGCCUGAUCCAGCCAUACCGCGUGGGUGAAGAAGGCCUUCGGGUUGUAAAGCCCUUUUGUUGGGGAAGAAAAGCAGCAGGUUAAUACCCCGCUGUUCUGACGGUACCCAAAGAAUAAGCACCGGCUAACUUCGUG
rnacentral:rRNA from 1 species